GGGUUGUGAGGUUAAGCGACUAAGCGUACACGGUGGAUGCCCUGGCAGUCAGAGGCGAUGAAGGGCGUACUAAUCUGCGAUAAGCGCCGGUAAGGUGAUAUGAACCGUUAUAACCGGCGAUACCCGAAUGGGGAAACCCAGUGUGAUUCGUCACACUAUCAUUAACUGAAUCCAUAGGUUAAUGAGGCGAACCGGGGGAACUGAAACAUCUAAGUACCCCGAGGAAAAGAAAUCAACCGAGAUUCCCCCAGUAGCGGCGAGCGAACGGGGAGGAGCCCAGAGCCUGAAUCAGCAUGUGUGUUAGUGGAAGCGUCUGGAAAGGCGCGCGAUACAGGGUGACAGCCCCGUACACAAAAGCGCAUGUGCUGUGAGCUCGAUGAGUAGGGCGGGACACGUGGUAUCCUGUCUGAAUAUGGGGGGACCAUCCUCCAAGGCUAAAUACUCCUGACUGACCGAUAGUGAACCAGUACCGUGAGGGAAAGGCGAAAAGAACCCCGGCGAGGGGAGUGAAAAAGAACCUGAAACCGUGUACGUACAAGCAGUGGGAGCACAGGUUUACCUGUGUGACUGCGUACCUUUUGUAUAAUGGGUCAGCGACUUAUAUUCUGUAGCAAGGUUAACCGAAUAGGGGAGCCGGAGGGAAACCGAGUCUUAAUUGGGCGUUAAGUUGCAGGGUAUAGACCCGAAACCCGGUGAUCUAGCCAUGGGCAGGUUGAAGGUUGGGUAACACUAACUGGAGGACCGAACCGACUAAUGUUGAAAAAUUAGCGGAUGACCUGUGGCUGGGGGUGAAAGGCCAAUCAAACCGGGAGAUAGCUGGUUCUCCCCGAAAGCUAUUUAGGUAGCGCCUCGUGAAUUCAUCUCCGGGGGUAGAGCACUGUUUCGGCUAGGGGGCCAUCCCGGCUUACCAACCCGAUGCAAACUGCGAAUACCGGAGAAUGUUAUCACGGGAGACACACGGCGGGUGCUAACGUCCGUCGUGAAGAGGGAAACAACCCAGACCGCCAGCUAAGGUCCCAAAGUCAUGGUUAAGUGGGAAACGAUGUGGGAAGGCCCAGACAGCCAGGAUGUUGGCUUAGAAGCAGCCAUCAUUUAAAGAAAGCGUAAUAGCUCACUGGUCGAGUCGGCCUGCGCGGAAGAUGUAACGGGGCUAAACCAUGCACCGAAGCUGCGGCAGCGACGCUUAUGCGUUGUUGGGUAGGGGAGCGUUCUGUAAGCCUGCGAAGGUGGCCUGUGAGGGUUGCUGGAGGUAUCAGAAGUGCGAAUGCUGACAUAAGUAACGAUAAAGCGGGUGAAAAGCCCGCUCGCCGGAAGACCAAGGGUUCCUGUCCAACGUUAAUCGGGGCAGGGUGAGUCGACCCCUAAGGCGAGGCCGAAAGGCGUAGUCGAUGGGAAACGGGUUAAUAUUCCCGUACUUGGUGUUACUGCGAAGGGGGGACGGAGAAGGCUAUGUUGGCCGGGCGACGGUUGUCCCGGUUUAAGCGUGUAGGUGUGUGUUCCAGGUAAAUCCGGUUCACUUUAACACUGAGGCGUGACGACGAGGCACUACGGUGCUGAAGCAACAAAUGCCCUGCUUCCAGGAAAAGCCUCUAAGCAUCAGGUAACAUCAAAUCGUACCCCAAACCGACACAGGUGGUCAGGUAGAGAAUACCAAGGCGCUUGAGAGAACUCGGGUGAAGGAACUAGGCAAAAUGGUGCCGUAACUUCGGGAGAAGGCACGCUGACACGUAGGUGAAGUGAUUUACUCAUGGAGCUGAAGUCAGUCGAAGAUACCAGCUGGCUGCAACUGUUUAUUAAAAACACAGCACUGUGCAAACACGAAAGUGGACGUAUACGGUGUGACGCCUGCCCGGUGCCGGAAGGUUAAUUGAUGGGGUCAGCGCAAGCGAAGCUCCUGAUCGAAGCCCCGGUAAACGGCGGCCGUAACUAUAACGGUCCUAAGGUAGCGAAAUUCCUUGUCGGGUAAGUUCCGACCUGCACGAAUGGCGUAAUGAUGGCCAGGCUGUCUCCACCCGAGACUCAGUGAAAUUGAACUCGCUGUGAAGAUGCAGUGUACCCGCGGCAAGACGGAAAGACCCCGUGAACCUUUACUAUAGCUUGACACUGAACAUUGAGCCUUGAUGUGUAGGAUAGGUGGGAGGCUUUGAAGUGUGGACGCCAGUCUGCAUGGAGCCGACCUUGAAAUACCACCCUUUAAUGUUUGAUGUUCUAACGUGGACCCGUUACCCGGGUUGCGGACAGUGUCUGGUGGGUAGUUUGACUGGGGCGGUCUCCUCCUAAAGAGUAACGGAGGAGCACGAAGGUUGGCUAAUCCUGGUCGGACAUCAGGAGGUUAGUGCAAUGGCAUAAGCCAGCUUGACUGCGAGCGUGACGGCGCGAGCAGGUGCGAAAGCAGGUCAUAGUGAUCCGGUGGUUCUGAAUGGAAGGGCCAUCGCUCAACGGAUAAAAGGUACUCCGGGGAUAACAGGCUGAUACCGCCCAAGAGUUCAUAUCGACGGCGGUGUUUGGCACCUCGAUGUCGGCUCAUCACAUCCUGGGGCUGAAGUAGGUCCCAAGGGUAUGGCUGUUCGCCAUUUAAAGUGGUACGCGAGCUGGGUUUAGAACGUCGUGAGACAGUUCGGUCCCUAUCUGCCGUGGGCGCUGGAGAACUGAGGGGGGCUGCUCCUAGUACGAGAGGACCGGAGUGGACGCAUCACUGGUGUUCGGGUUGUCAUGCCAAUGGCACUGCCCGGUAGCUAAAUGCGGAAGAGAUAAGUGCUGAAAGCAUCUAAGCACGAAACUUGCCCCGAGAUGAGUUCUCCCUGAGACUUAGAGUCUCCUGAAGGAACGUUGAAGACGACGACGUUGAUAGGCCGGGUGUGUAAGCGCAGCGAUGCGUUGAGCUAACCGGUACUAAUGAACCGUGAGGCUUAACCUUACAACGCCGAAG
rnacentral:rRNA from 2 species